rnacentral:rRNA from 1 species
AUUGAACGCUGGCGGCAGGCCUAACACAUGCAAGUCGAGCGAGCGGCGGACGGGUGAGUAAUGUAUGGGGACUGCCCGAUAGAGGGGGAUAACUACUGGAAACGGUGGCUAAUACCGCAUAUUAUCGGAUAAUCCAUAUGGGUUUAGCUAGUAGGUAAGGUAAUGGCUUACCUAGGCGACGAUCCCGAGAUGGUCUGCGAGGAUGAUCAGCCACACUGGGACUUCGACACGGCCCAGACUCCUACGGAGGAAGCAGGGGGGAAUAGGGGACAAUGGGCGCAAGCCUGAUGCAUCCAUGCCGCGUGUAUGAAUAAGGCCCUAGGGUUGUAAAGUACUUUCAGUCGGGAGGCGUUACCGACAGAAGAAGCACCGGCUAACUCCGUGCCAGCAGCCGCGGUAAUUC